rnacentral:rRNA from 1 species
UGCCCUUGGGUCCGGCAUAACCCCGGGAAACUGGGGAUAAUUCCGGAUAACGCACAUAUGCUGGAAUGCUUUAUGCGUCAAAUGGAUUCGUCUGCCCAAGGAUGGGUCUGCGGCCUAUCAGGUAGUAGUGGGUGUAAUGUACCUACUAGCCGACGACGGGUACGGGUUGUGAGAGCAAGAGCCCGGAGAUGGAUUCUGAGACAUGAAUCCAGGCCCUACGGGGCGCAGCAGGCGCGAAAACUUUACAAUGCGGGAAACCGUGAUAAGGGGACACCGAGUGCCAGCAUCAUAUGCUGGCUGUCCGGGUGUGUAAAAUACACCUGUUAGCAAGGGCCGGGCAAGACCGGUGCCAGCCGCCGCGGUAACACCGGCGGCCCGAGUGGUGAUCGUGAUUAUUGGGUCUAAAGGGUCCGUAGCCGGUUUGGUCAGUCCUCCGGGAAAUCUGACGGCUUAACCGUUAGGCUUUCGGAGGAUACUGCCAGGCUUGGAACCGGGAGAGGUAAGAGGUACUACAGGGGUAGGAGUGAAAUCUUGUAAUCCCUGUGGGACCACCUGUGGCGAAGGCGUCUUACCAGAACGGGUUCGACGGUGA